GACGAACGCUGGCGGCGUGCUUAACACAUGCAAGUCGAACGGUAAGGCCCUGCUUUUGUGGGCAGCUCGAGUGGCGAACGGGUGAGUAACACGUGAGUAACCUGUCACUGACUUUGGUAUAACUUCAGGAAACUGGGGCUAAUACCGCAUAGGAGCUCCUGCUGCAUGGUGGGGGUUGGUAAGUUUCGGCGGUUGGGGAUGGACUCGCGGCUCAUCAGCUUGUUGGUGGGGUAGUGGGUUACCAAGGCUUUGACGGGUAGCCUGCCUGAGAGGGUGACCGGCCACAUUGGGACUGAGAUAAGGCCCAGACUCCUACGGGAGGCAGCAGUGGGGAAUAUAGCACAAUGGGCGGAGGCCUGGUGCAGCAACGCCGCGUGCGGGAUGACGGCCUUCGGGUUGUAAACCGCUUUCGCCUGUGACGAAGCGUGAGUGACGGUAAUGGGUAAAGAAGCACCGGCUAACUACGUG
rnacentral:rRNA from 1 species